rnacentral:rRNA from 1 species
AGUGGGGAAUAUUGCGCAAUGGGGGCAACCCUGACGCAGCCAUGCCGCGUGUGUGAAGAAGGCCUUCGGGUUGUAAAGCACUUUCAAUGGGGAAGAAAAGCGUAGCGUUAAUAGCGUUGCGCCGUGACGUUACCCAUAGAAGAAGCACCGGCUAACUCCGUGCCAGCAGCCGCGGUAAUACGGAGGGUGCGAGCGUUAAUCGGAAUUACUGGGCGUAAAGCGCGCGUAGGCGGUUUGUUAAGUCAGCUGUGAAAGCCCCGGGCUCAACCUGGGAACUGCAGUUGAUACUGGCCGACUAGAGUACGAGAGAGGGAGGUAGAAUUCCAUGUGUAGCGGUGAAAUGCGUAGAUAUAUGGAGGAAUACCGGUGGCGAAGGCGGCCUCCUGGCUCGAUACUGACGCUGAGGUGCGAAAGCGUGGGGAUCAAA